AGUGAACGCUGGCGGUAGGCCUAACACAUGCAAGUCGAACGGCCGCACAGUAAGAGCUUGCUCUUACGGGUGGCGAGUGGCGGACGGGUGAGGAAUACAUCGGAAUCUACUUUUUCGUGGGGGAUAACGUAGGGAAACUUACGCUAAUACCGCAUACGACCUACGGGUGAAUGCCGGGGAUCUUCGGACCUUGCGCGAUUGAAUGCGCCGAUGUCGGAUUAGCUAGUUGGCGGGGUAAAGGCCCACCAAGGCGACGAUCCGUAGCUGGUCUGAGAGGAUGAUCAGCCACACUGGAACUGAGACACGGUCCAGACUCCUACGGAGGGCAGCAGUGGGGAAUAUUGGACAAGGAGCGCAAUCCUGAUCCAGCCAUACCGCGUGGGGGAGGAAGGCCUUCGGGUGUUAAAGCCCUUUUGUUGGGAAAGAAAAGCAGCAGGUUAAUACCCCGCUGUUCUGACGGUACCCAAAGAAUAAGCACCGGCUAACUUCGUG
rnacentral:rRNA from 1 species